CGGACGGGUGAGUAACACGUGGAUAACCUACCUAUAAGACUGGGAUAACUUCGGGAAACCGGAGCUAAUACCGGAUAAUAUAUUGAACCGCAUGGUUCAAUAGUGAAAGACGGUUUUGCUGUCACUUAUAGAUGGAUCCGCGCCGCAUUAGCUAGUUGGUAAGGUAACGGCUUACCAAGGCAACGAUGCGUAGCCGACCUGAGAAGGUGAUCGGCCACACUGGAACUGAGACACGGUCCAG
rnacentral:rRNA from 1 species